GACACGACUCUCGGCAAUGGAUAUCUCGGCUCUCGCAUCGAGGAAGAGCGCAGCGAAAUGCGAUACGUGGUGCGAAUUGCAGAAUCCCGCGAAC
rnacentral:rRNA from 1 species